UACGGAGGGUGCAAGCGUUAUCCGGAUUCACUGGGUUUAAAGGGUGCGUAGGUGGUGAGGUAAGUCGGAUGUGAAAGCUCGGAGCUCAACUCCGAAAUGGCAUUGGAAACUACCUUGCUCGAGGGUUGGAGGGGGGACUGGAAUGCUUGGUGUAGCAGUGAAAUGCGUAGAUAUCAAGCGGAACACCAGUGGCGAAGGCGAGUCCCUGGACAACUCCUGACACUGAGGCACGAAAGCUAGGGGAGCAAACAGG
rnacentral:rRNA from 1 species